UACAGAGGUCUCAAGCGUUGUUCGGAUUCAUUGGGCGUAAAGGGUGCGUAGGUGGCAUGGUCAGUCGGAUGUGAAAUCCCGGGGCUCAACCCCGGAACUGCAUUCGAAACUGCAGAGCUGGAGUCCUGGAGAGGAAGGCGGAAUUCUCGGUGUAGAGGUGAAAUUCGUAGAUAUCGAGAGGAACACCGGUGGCGAAGGCGGCCUUCUGGACAGUGACUGACGCUGAGACGCGAAAGCGUGGGGAGCAAACAGG
rnacentral:rRNA from 1 species